UGAAGAACGCAGCGAAAUGCGAUACCUAGUGUGAAUUGCAGAAUUCCGCGAAUCAUCGAGUCUUUGAACGCAAGUUGCGCCCGAGGCUUGUCCCGAGGGCAUGCCUGCCUGAGCGUC
rnacentral:rRNA from 1 species